ACGAACGCUGGCGGCGUGCCUAAUACAUGCAAGUUGAGCGAUGAAGAUUGGUGCUUGCACCAAUUUGAAGAGCAGCGAACGGGUGAGUAACGCGUGGGGAAUCUGCCUUUGAGCGGGGGACAACAUUUGGAAACGAAUGCUAAUACCGCAUAACAACUUUAAACAUAAGUUUUAAGUUUGAAAGAUGCAAUUGCAUCACUCAAAGAUGAUCCCGCGUUGUAUUAGCUAGUUGGUGAGGUAAAGGCUCACCAAGGCGAUGAUACAUAGCCGACCUGAGAGGGUGAUCGGCCACAUUGGGACUGAGACACGGCCCAAACUCCUACGGGAGGCAGCAGUAGGGAAUCUUCGGCAAUGGACGAAAGUCUGACCGAGCAACGCCGCGGGAGUGAAGAAGGUUGUCGGAUCGUAAAACUCUGUUGGUAGAGAAGAACGUUGGUGAGAGUGGAAAGCUCAUCAAGUGACGGUAACUACCCAGAAAGGGACGGCUAACUACGUG
rnacentral:rRNA from 1 species